UACAGAGGUCCCAAGCGUUGUUCGGAUUCAUUGGGCGUAAAGGGUGCGUAGGCGGCGCGGUAAGUCGGAUGUGAAAUCUCGGAGCUUAACUCCGAAACUGCAUUCGAUACUGCCGUGCUUGAGGACUGGAGAGGAGACUGGAAUUUACGGUGUAGCGGUGAAAUGCGUAGGAUAUCGUAAGGAAGACCAGUGGCGAAGGCGGGUCUCUGGACAGUUC
rnacentral:rRNA from 1 species